ensembl:lncRNA
GGUGAGGAGGCGGCGUCUUCUGGUGUGGAUCUGAUGUCCCGAAAGAGAGAGAAGACACGGGGAGAACCGUGGACCUCCAGACCUCUUCUGGUACCCGGUCACUCCCCUGCACAUCCCUUCAUACUGCAUAUUCCAAUUUAAAUACACUCUCUGUGUAGAGAUGAUCUGUCUGGGUAAAAAAUGCCGGGACAAAUUCCAUGGAUCCAAAGAAUAGUUCUGAUUCACAUUCUGGUUCAGAUUCUGAUUCACAUUCUGGUUCUGAUUCACAUUCUGGUUCUGAUUCUGAUCAGGACAGAAGGCAAAGAGGAGCACAGGCCCUGCCGUUGAAAUAGGCGUGAUGAGAGUAAUUAGGGACGCAGGGCGAAGAGGAAACGGAGAGCCGCUGCCACAACCGAUACUUUUCAUUUCCGGCCGUCGAGCGAGAGUGAGCGGCGGCCACGCGGCGGGUCGUCCUCAGGUUUCUUCGUGGCGGAAGGGAUCGGCGUGCUGUCGACGGACCGGCUGAGACCAUCGCAGCGCUGAACGGGCCUUCGGGCAGAGAGGGGAUGGCGAAAGAGUCCGUUUGUCUGGCUGCUGCGCGUUCGGUCCUCCACAAGCAGCCGCGUGACGCACCGCCGUCGCCGCCGCGCGCCGCCGCUGAUCACAGAAGAUGGAUAUUCACUUUCACGCAUCGUUCAACCACUAGAUGACAACACAGGGCGGCGGCGCAGGAUGCAACAAACGUCCAAACAAACCCCGUCCGAAGGCGCUCGCCCCAAACCGAACGCUUGAAUAAGACACAGUAUUCAAAACCGCAGCUUCUUCUUCGCACAAUGACUGCGUGCACGCGUUACUUUUUUAUCCUGAAUAGGCGGCCGUCGACGGGGAGAGCGCUGUGCUAUUGUGACGGGUUGUCACGACCUGCCUUCAGGGUGUAACAAUACUCAUCGAGGUCUCUUGGCCAUUGAAAGAGACCAUUGUGAUGUUUGCUGGAAGCGUUGACGACGAGGAGGGAAAAUAGUCCCCGAGCUGUUCUGUCGUUGUCUAUCGAAUCGCUUGGACGGUUAGUAAAUAGUUGUAAACCGCUAGAAUAAUGACAGUUUCACAGUUUGAACGAUAAUUCUAUCGAGAACGUCUUGAAACACAAACCAUGGGCACAUUUUGCAUUGAAAACACACUUUUCACGUCUUUAUCACAAGAACAAACAGCCACUGCUGUUUGUUCUUGUGUAUUCAACAGGAUAAAAAGGGGAUUUAAAGCAGCUGUUGUAUUGAGAGAAAGGCAGGAAGUGGGGUGACAUUUGAAGAGCCUUCGAGGGGAAGUAAGGACGGCUUAUAGAAGCUGUUUGAUUUUUACACAGGAGACCACGGGGCGGUUUCCUGUCUCUACCAAACGAAGUAGAUUUAUAAAAAAAUGCAACUGUUCCCAAUACAAGCAGAGGCGUGUGUCUUUAUCUGUGUGUCGUUUAGCUUUAAGUUUCACUUAAAGGGCGAACUUCUCCGCCACCCACACACACACACACCCUGAGAUGAGGAGAUAAAUAAGGUCUCCGUGUGCCAAGAUGGACAGAUUUGUGACUGCCGUAAAAAGCGUAAAUCAGAUGGCGGGUCCUCCAACAACGGCACGAAGUAAAAGUGCUCAAACAUAACGCGGCAUAUCUGACCCUGGGCGUUACAAGCACUGUGACUCAGUAUGAAGGUGAUCAUGCGAACAUAAUCAGAUGAAACGAGAGAGUGUGAUGCUGCCGUUAAAUGUGCACAAUAUGUGGUUUGCAGUAGUUUUUGCGCAGAAAUGACAUUUUAUGGCUGCCAUAUUUUUCAAUAAAAAAAAAAAAGCAGAAUAAUAUAAAAGUGAGGGCAACACGUACUUGCUUUAGAAAGGAAAACGAUGUGUCCAUCUGUCUUGGCCCCUCCUCGUUGGGCCCGGUUUGGUACCCGGAUUAGUAACGAUCAUCCCAGUGACGCUCCUUUCUCGGGCCUCGGUCUAAUCAUCAGCGUGCGCCAUGGAGCCAUAAUAAUGCUGACACCCGGGGGUCCUAAUAAAGGAACUGCACCUUCGUGAGACCCUCGACCUCUCCACAGUCGAUUGCGAGGACGCUUCAUUAAGCGCCAUCAAAGGCAGCGGGGCCAUCUGCGGAUGAGAGGAGAUCUUCAGACACUAACAACAGAUACGCGGGCCAAUUACACGACAUCAGUGACGAUGAGAAUCACGACUUCAAUCGACACCUUUGAAACACCGUCAGAAAUGCAGAGCGCGUCGGGAUCAACAAACACCAAAGACUCCUCGGUGGGACACGGGCCGAGGGGCGUGAAAUGCAAAGAGUUGAUAGAAACUGUUGUACUGGAACUUAUCAGCAACAUCCAUCAAUUGAGAGUCUUCCCGUUACGUCUUCUGAGCAAAACGCCAGAACCCGUCCGUAGACCCGGCCGCAUCCGACGCAGCGAUCCGACUCGUGUGCGAGAGUCAAAGAGGAGGCUCGAGACGAGAGGGGACACGCGGAGGGGCGGCCCCAAUGAGACAGAGUUACCCCAGAGUGAGGCCCCGCCAUCCCCGCCAAAUCUCAAAUGCCCCGUUAUUGCGUGGACACGAUGUGAGAGAAAGGUGCAGCGGGUCUGUCGUCCAUCCUUCGUCUCGCUCGCUCGUUGAGGCCAGAUCGGCGCCCCGAGGGUUGUUGCUCGGACCUUAAACGCCGGCGCUGGGCUGCCGAGACUGGACGCUCAUUGCCCAGACCACAGACAACGUGCAUUUGGUCCCCGCUAACGCACGCGUCAAAGUGAUUCGGCGACAAGCUCCACGCAACAGGAGUCGUGCCCUUCCGUUUGGCUCAGAGCUCCGCAAAACAGCGGCCCGGGUCGCAGUAAACAUUCCACUAUUGACAAUUACUCUGCUCAUUACUUGAAUAUGCACACGGGCGUGUGUGCGUUUAACGACCUGCACUCGUGCGUGUGCGUGUCGCCGGUAACUCCCCCCUGCAUUUGAUUUGCAGCGAAACGACAACAACAACCUUUGUCAAAAGCAGCAAAGCGCGCGGCCGC